GCAACUGUUUAUUAAAAACACAGCACUGUGCAAACACGAAAGUGGACGUAUACGGUGUGACGCCUGCCCGGUGCCGGAAGGUUAAUUGAUGGGGUCAGCGCAAGCGAAGCUCCUGAUCGAAGCCCC
rnacentral:rRNA from 1 species